rnacentral:lncRNA from 1 species
AUUAGGGUCUAAGGCAACUGGCCCCAUGGAGCAACAGGGAAAGGCAGGUUGGGGUCAUCGAGUGGGUGCUGGGGUGCUGAGUCAACCCAGGGUAAGAGAUGGCUCUCCCCUGCCAUGACUGGCUGCAAACUGGGUUCCCAGCACAGACGUGAGCUUGGACAUCAGGCCUGUGAUGACAGAGGCCCUGGCUGCCUCCCUGGCCAGUACCAGCCUGGUUCUCUGAAUGCCUGGGUAGUUCUGGGCAAUGCUGGCAAGCAGGGCCCAUGCAGGGAUGGGGCAUGGAGGGACAGCGCACAGAGGGCCAACGGUCCCGAGGACUCAGAGGGUCACCAACCCCAGGCCAUCAAGACCGGCCAGCUCUGGGACUUAAUGGAAUGAGCCACACAACCUACAAAGGGUGUCCACUCCGAGACUCUGACCACGAGCAUCAUUAAAGAAACUGAUUUGGGGCUUGAAAAACACUGAGGUAUGAACACUGUCUGUUAGAGCUGGAAGGACUCCUCAUCGUCAGACCUCGCUCCCGGGGCAGAAAUUCCUCCGCCUCUUCCCCAACAGCCUCGGCUGCUGCUUGUCCACUCCCAGGGACGGGAAGCCCACUUCAUCACCGGGAGGCCCAUUGCAAAGGCAGCCCCAGCUGUUGGAAGGCUCACCAUUUUAUGGUGGAAACUGCUUCCAGGAGAGAGGAAUUGAAAUCCAUGACACUGACAAGCAGGGCAUUUGAAAUUGGCCUCCCUGUCACCCACCCACAGGCCGAACAUGUGCCUGCUGGGGCUGCCAAACACACCUCAUCAAACUUCCAGGUAAAGGGCCAUCAGCUUUGGAGACAGUUUUCAUGUUUCUCCCGCCAGGGAGAUAAUGCUUCAUGCUGAGAUUUGAGGACUGGCAGGGGAAUUAUCUAUCUAUGUAUCUAUGUAUCUAUGUAUCUAUGUAUGUAUGUAUGUAUGUAUGUAUCUAUCUAUCUAUCUAUUUUUUAAAAUUUAUUGUCCUGUG